rnacentral:rRNA from 1 species
CAGCAGCCGCGGGAAAACGUAGGUGGCAAGCGUUGUCCGGAAUUAUUGGGCGUAAAGCGCGCGCAGGUGGUUUAAUAAGUCUGAUGUGAAAGCCCACGGCUCAACCGUGGAGGGUCAUUGGAAACUGUUAAACUUGAGUGCAGGAGAGAAAAGUGGAAUUCCUAGUGUAGCGGUGAAAUGCGUAGAGAUUAGGAGGAACACCAGUGGCGAAGGCGGCUUUUUGGCCUGUAACUGACACUGAGGCGCGAAAGCGUGGGGAGCAAACAGGAUUAGAUACCCCCGUAGUCCCUGUCUCUUAUAC